AUUGUACCUGCAAAGUGAUAAAUUACCUUAGAAUAGCCAAUUCCUGGAACCCCAAGUUAAUGGUUUCUCCCUUUUCUUGGGGCAAAAUGAUAAGUCAUGUGUACAGUAGCAGAACGUUUGAGGAACUGUACCCCUAAAAAGCACAACACGUGCUUUUCCACAACUGAAAAGGUACAAAUAUGUUCUUGAGAUCAGAAGCGUUAAUGAUACAAAAGCUAAUUCCCACUGAAGAUCGAGAAUUACAGAAAGGGCUGCACAGACCAGCUCCCUUUUCUGUAAUGCCGAGGUACAGGUCUACAAAGUUGGUACUACCUCAUUGACACCAAAAGAAGAAACGUGAUACUGUAAUUCCCGGCCUACAAGCCGCGACUUUUUUCGCUAGUUAGCGUUAGCGCCGCCGGGUUAGCAUUAGCACCACCGGGAUAGUGUUAGCACCACCGUGUUAGCAUUAGCAACACCACGGUAGCGUUAGCACCGCCGUGUUAGCAUUAGCACCACCGCACUAGCGUGAGCAUUAGCACUGCGGUGUUAGCGUUAGCACCGCCGCGUUAGCAUUAACAGCGCCGCCGCAUUAGCAUUAACACCCCCACGCUAGUGUUAGCACCGCCGCGUUAGCUCUGCCGUGUUAGCGUUAGCACCGCCGCGUUAGCGUUAAGAGCGCCGCCAUGUUAGCAUUAGCUCCGCCGUGUUAGCGUUGGCACCGCCACGUUAGCGUUAGCACCGCCGCGUUAGUGUUAGCACCGCCAUGCUAGAGUUAAACUCUGUGUACUGAGGCUUAUCACCAGGUGCGCUCUGUAGGCCGGGAAUUCCGGUAAUUUCCUUCUAAGCACUCUAUAUAAAUAGUAGUGGGUCGCAAAACAGCCAGUUUCUCCCCUUGGAAAAGUAAUUAGGGCCCCAAAUUUUGCAACUAUGUUCCCAUUGGUGCAAAAACUAUACCUCUGUGGAGACCAUCACAGUUACAAGACCCCCAUUAAGGAUUAAAGGCGGACGCUGCUCCUUCUACGGGCCGGGACGGCGGGAUCGAGGCUCGGAUGGUGUGACUCACGCGCACGUCCAAGCCAAGCCGAGCCGAGCCGAGCCAAGCCCCGGCUGGCAGGGAUCAGCGCGCGCUCGGAUUCAUCAUCGCGCGGAUAUUACGGCAAGCGAGAGCCGUCACAAUGGAGGGUGGCGCUCUUGAGUCACUGUGGCGCUUCCGUGAGACUGGAUUUCAUUAGAGGUGCAGUCAGACAGAGAUGAGCCAGGAUGGGAGCAAGUCGGGCUGAGGGGCUCAGGAGGUGUUCCAGCUGCA